GACGUAGGAUGCAAGCGUUGUCCGGAUUUAUUGGGCGUAAAGAGUUCGUAGGUGGUUUGUUAAGUCUGAUGUUAAAGACUGGGGCUCAACCUCGGAAAUGCAUUGGAUACUGGCAGGCUAGAGUGCGGUAGAGGAUGGCGGAAUUCCCGGUGUAGCAGUGAAAUGCGUAGAGAUCGGGAGGAACAUCUGUGGCGAAGGCGGCCAUCUGGACCAGCACUGACACUGAGGCACGAAAGCGUGGGGAGCAAACAGG
rnacentral:rRNA from 1 species